rnacentral:rRNA from 1 species
GGUAAUUAAGGGCAAGAGGCCGCGGUAAUGCUGAGGUGGCGAGCGUUGUCGGGAGUUACGGGGCGUAAAGGGAGCGUAGGCGGACUUUUAAGUGAGAUGCGAAAUACCCGGGCUCAACUUGGGUGCUGCAUUUCAAACUGGAAGUCUAGAGUGCAGGAGAGGAGAAUGGAAUUCCUAGUGUAGCGGUGAAAUGCGUAGAGAUUAGGAAGAACACCAGUGGCGAAGGCGAUUCUCUGGACUGUAACUGACGCUGAGGCUCGAAAGCGUGGGGAGCAAACAGGAUUAGAUACGCCUGUAGUC